AAAUAGAACUUUGCAGAGAGAGUUAACAGGGCGUGAAACCGUUAAUUGGCAAACGAAUCGGAGCCACGAAGUCGUUUCGCUGGAGUUGGGCUAGGUUCAGCGGGCAUCGAGAGGUGCUCGUGUAUUUCUAGUUUGACCCAAUGUUUACGUACACUGCAACCAGUUGAACAAUUGGCGAUGGGCCCAGCUCCGGGUUAGUGGUGGUUCGCCGCCGAGCUCGUGUCGCGUGAACUAUCGGCCAAAUAUUGACUGGCAAAAGUAAAAUCGCCUCUGGCGUUUUAAAGAAAGCGCUGGUCACCUCGAGUGUUCACACAUUUGGCCAUGCGGUCUUAAGCUCAACAUUUUUGAAUUUAGACUUGCUUGCUACCAGUUGGGGCAACCCCUGGUGCUUGUAUAGCUUCUAUCUAAUCGGAUGUUGACUUGGUCGUGUGAUGUGCGGGUGUGCUACGUUGAGCGUUCGAGGUAGGUCAGUCGCAAUCGAUUGGCAGUGAGUAGGUCGGCUUUCCGAACGACCCGUCUUGAAACACGGACCAAGGAGUCUAAUUAGGUAUCGAGUCGAUCGGUCUUGAAUAGGCCAGAGAAGGCGAAGAGACAUGUGAUCACUGGGCAACAACAGCCCUAGUGCGCAACAUGUGCCUGUUCGUAUAGCAUUGUCUUGAAUGCUGGGCGGAGCAAAGAGAUACUUGAUUGGUACCCGAAAGAUGGUGAUGCCUGGGCAGGUUGAAGCCAGAGGAAACUCUGGUGGAGGGCCUAGCUGACGUGCAAAUCGAUCGUCAGACCUGGGUAUAGGGGCGAAAGACUAAUCGAACCAUC
rnacentral:rRNA from 1 species